AUACUCAAACAAUAAGACCAUUAAKGUAUAUGUAUAUAAUACAAAAUGUUGGUUUGUUUGAUUUAAUAGUUUCAUCGCUGGGUUUUACAGCUCAGUUAGAACUAGAGUAUAAUACAGAUUUGCCAAAGUUAAUUUUUUGGCUAGGAGAUUUGAUUAAUUUAAAAUCAUCCGAAAAUGUAUUAUAUUUUAUAUGCAUGCGUUUAAUUACACAUACAUAUAACCAAUUCAAACUUG
rnacentral:misc_RNA from 1 species